GAUGAAGAACGCAGCGAAAUGCGAUAAGUAAUGUGAAUUGCAGAAUUCAGUGAAUCAUCGAAUCUUUGAACGCACAUUGCGCCCGCCAGUAUUCUGGCGAGCAUGCCUGUUCGAGCGUCAUUUCAACCAUCAAGCCCCAGGCUUGUGUUGGAGCCCUGCGGCUGCCGCAGCCUCCCAAAACCAGUGGCGGGCUCGCUAUCACACCGAGUGCAGUAGUUUUCUCUUCGCUCAGGGCGUGUGGCGGGUGCUAGCCGUGAAACCCCCAACUUCUCAAGGUUGACCUCGGAUCAGGUAGGAAUACCCGCUGAACUUAAGCAUAUCAAUAAGCGGAGGA
rnacentral:misc_RNA from 1 species